GUGCUCACUUCGGCAGCACAUAUACUAAAAUUGGAAUAAGAAGAUUAGCAUGGCCCCUGUGCAAGAAUGGCACACAAAUUUGUGAAGUGCACCAUAUUUUU
ensembl:snRNA U6 U6 spliceosomal RNA